rnacentral:lncRNA from 1 species
GGGGGAGGAGGAGGCUGGGCGUCCAUGCAUCAGGGGAAGGGCCGUGGGGCUACCUGCUCCUCCACUCAGCCUUCGGUCCUUCAAGUACGCAACUAAGAGAGAAGACAGAGCCGGAGAGGGGGCGGGGAUGGGGGAGACACAACACAGUGAAGAGCGUGGUCCGCUGAGUCAAGGGCAUUGAGAUGAGCCAGAGAGAUGGGACAAAGGACAGGCACAGAGAGGCUGGGGGCAGGGCCAGAGGCUUCUGGAAGCCCACUCCUGCCUGCCCACCCAGCAGUGGCCCCCAGAAGGAUCUCUGGCCCAAGGAAGCCCUGACAGGUGGGGUGCUUAUCCCCUCACCAUUCUCCUAGGCCUCAGUCUCCUGCAUACAGAAUGGGGGAGGCCUGCCCGCUCUGUGCCCUUCCCAGCUUGGGGCUGCCUGGUGGAGUUUCUCCCCAGGACCCUGAGAACGCGUCUCAGCGCCUGACAAUGUUCUUCCGUUCACCUCGCAAAUGCUUGCUGUGCCCUGAUUCCAGACUCUGUGCUCCUGCGGAGCCUCCCUGUGGGCCCUAGGGCUCUGCCCUGCUCCAGAGAGCAUUCUAUUCCUGGGUGUCCUCCCCAGCCUUCCCACAGGCAGCCCUCCUGUUUGCCCUGGAGAUAGCUCCAGAGGCUGAAGUCUGGAGGGGAACAAAAAACAAACUGAGAAGAGGAAGUUUGCCUCCUGGCAGUGGGGACCUGGAGGAACAGGUAUGUCUUGGAGGGAAGGGGGAAGUCAAGGAGACACACAAGGGGUGUGUUGUGUGUGUGUGUGUGUGUGUCUGUGUGUGUGUACCUGGUUCCACCCCAGACCCAGAUUUUCAGAUCUGCCAAGCCAGGUUCAGCUGCUUUCAGCUCUCUGAAUGCCAGGCGGCCCCAGUUGCCUUCCCUGGCCCCAAACUCCAAGCCCACUCCUAUGAUGCCCCUGGGUGCAGCCAUGAGUUGUUUCAAAAGGCCUUCUCAGGUGCCAUAGACCCAGCUCUGACCCCAAGCCCUGGGGCGGGUGAGGGGAGUGUGCCUCACCCCCAGACAGGCUUCCCUGGCAGGACACGGCCCCUGGCCCUGGACCCCCAGCACGGAAGGAAGAGUCCCUUCCCCCAGUAGGCCCAGCACUGCCAUCAGAACAGUGCGCCAAGUCCUCCCUAAGGGCAAAGGGGAGUUGGGCACAGCCUGGGAUGGCCAACUUGCAACUCAGGUGGCAUCUGUGGGGCCCAGCAUCCGGGGCCCAGGUCACACAAAACUCCUAUGCUUAUGGGCUCCCUACUACCACCUGACACCACGUGCCAGCCCUGCAAACAGGAGCCCCAACCCCAGCACUGCCUGCCCACCGGUCUCUAGGUGGUGUGGGGUGGGGUGGAAAUGUACUCACUGUAGCCCAUGCCUUGCAGGAAGUAUUUGAAGGCUUCAGUCAGCUUCCCUGGCUGCGGAGGGCAGGACAAGCACAUGCUUUCAUUGGCUGCCUAGGAUUAGCAGGCCUCCCCAGCCAGAAGGAUGGGGGCUAUGCCAGAUGUGAGGCUUGGCAAGACUGUGGGAAAGUGGACAAGAAGCCCACCGUCCACUGCUGGCCCUGGAGGCUCCCCUGGGCUGGAUCAAGAAUUGUCCCUGCUGGGCAGGGGCCAGUGAGCCCCUCACCCCUACCUCCCACCCCCAGUGAGCCCACAGCCCCUCACUUACCACCCCGUCCUCAGCGGGUGCAUUAUCCCCAACCACCAGCAUCACGGGGCAGCUGCAGAUACAGAGG